AGAAACCAAAGUCUGGAAAGGCUGUGACUUGCUCAGAGUCACAUAGUACAGCAGUGGUGGAUCUGUGAACUGAACCCAGGUCUCCUGACUCCCAGUCUGUGUUAAAAGAAGAAGGUGGCUCGGCCUGCAGUAUAAAUUUUGGUGGGCAUGCUGGAAUUUCCUUGUGUGGCCUAUGGUAAUCUUUCACCAGAAGACUCGGUCCAAAUAAAAGUUUACAUUCCUCCGACGGCUCACUUCAGAUGUAAAGUAUUGAGGUUUCCCAGAGACAGGUCUCGUGUUUCCCACACGUGCAAGACAGGAAGAUCCUGUUUUUACCACAGGCCUUGGAUUGUUUCAAGUGCAGUUGCAGCAAUCCUCUGUAAAUGUCUACGCUUGGUGUUUUUAAGCUGGACAGGCAUUAAAUUAAUAACAUAGACCUCGGCCAGCUGUGUCAACAGAGACCAAGAAGCCUUUGAAUGGCUAAUUCAUUUGUGAUAGUUUAUGGCCGUUAGGUAGCCAAUGUGUCUGCAAUUAUUAGAAUGAAAAUGUACUGUAAAUCUAAUUGUGCACAUGCAAUUUACCAACACAGAAUGCAUAUAUUCUUUACUUAUUCUAGU